UACGGAGGGUGCGAGCGUUGUCCGGAAUCACUGGGCGUAAAGGGCGCGUAGGCGGCGCGGGAAGUCAUCGGUGAAAGUUCAGGGCUCAACUCUGAAUCGGCCGGUGAUACUCUCGUGCUUGAGCACUGUAGAGGCAGGUGGAAUUCCGGGUGUAGCGGUGGAAUGCGCAGAUAUCAGGAGGAACACCAAUUGCGAAGGCAGCUCGCUGGGACGUGACUGACGCUGAGACGCGAAAGCGUGGGGAGCAAACAGG
rnacentral:rRNA from 1 species